GCCAGAUGCUCGUGCUAGCAAACUUGCGACAUUGUAUAAAAUAUUCCGGGCCCUUAGUUUCCCACGCCAGUGAGCUCAGGACAGACACAGCUGUAAGCUACUUGCACAAGGGAUAACAAGUAAUCAGUAAAAAUCAAGAUAGGGGAGGGAUGCUGGAUUUCAUGAGAUGCUGAUUAAAGUGGUAACAGAGGGAACUGCUGCACAUGGCUUAGGGGCUAUGGUGGCAGUACUUGGAGGCUGGGGUGUGGUGGUGGGAGGCAUGCUGCUGUCAGCUUCAGGCGUCUCUUCGCGUCUGGUGCAGAUGCUGCAGAUACUCAAAGGCCCUCUCGCUCACGUUCAGGGCGGUGUGAACUCGCUGCAGAUUGGCCUCCCCUAUCAACGACAGGCCGCAGAUCCCAAAGUGGGCGUGCAGCGGGUCUGGAACAGACACGAGGACCAGAAGAGAGAGGAAGGAUAGCAUGAAUAGGCUGCUACACAUUACUGGAGAGAAGAAUAGUACAUGCAGUAAGUACAUGAUAGGACUCCCGAAACAACCAGCAAACCAGGCUGUCGUCUUGUGAAACAGUGGAUGUAAAGAAUCUAGCUAGCUAAAGCAUUUACUGCAAAUUAAAUGUACAAUUGUGUACGCUUGCCUUAUUGAUAUUUGCCAUGCAAUGCAGCUAAAGUAACGUGGCUAGCUAACUAUUUUCUUGCUUAUUGUGCAGCGGAUGUUAAAUAUACCUGUAUGCCUAUGGAUGUGUAGCUAGCUAUGUAGCCGAUCUGUGUAUGGACCCUAAAACGUUUGGUAUACAUAUUAGUUCAGAACCUAGCUAUGAACCUAUCAUAGCCAGUUGUAUCAACUUCAAAACAAUGAAUGAAAUUAAUGAAGCCUAUGGAUUGAGUACAAUAUAACGUUGUGCCAAGGAUGCAAAUCGUAUAUACAUGUAGUUAUUACCAUGCAUGAGAUCCCCACAUUGUAGCCUGUACAUUUAAUAUAUUCACUGAUCAUGUACUCUACCUUGGCCAAUAAAGGUACAGUUCAGGUA